rnacentral:SRP_RNA from 1 species
GGUCUGCAAGUGUGGGCACCCCAAGUUUUUCAACGCGACGGAGCCCCUCUGCGAGGGGAAGAGCGUUGCUUGCGAGAUGAACAAGUUUACGGACAUGAUGGCUUACUUGGCAGCAACCAAUCCGGAGUUCGGGCAGGUAAUAGUAGUUGAUCCGGGCUUUGAGUUGUUCACA